CGAGUCAUCUUACAAGAGUCGGCCUGUAUCGCCUGCCCUUCCCCUGGGACGUAGCACAUCGGCCGUGGCCUCCGUGCUAACUGCCCGAAGGUGACUCCUCCGUCAUUUCGUUGGCUUCGCAGCAGCAUCUAACACAGAGGAUGUUCGGCAGUGUCUGGAGUCAUUUGGGGUCGUCGAGCCGGGGUGAAGGAUGCUGCUAGCACCUGAUUCUGCAGUGCCCGGACCCUGCCACGAACAGGACACCCCCGCGGCCUCGGAGAAACCCUGAGUGCAGACGGAGGAGGGUAUAGAUUAAAGAGGAAUCUCUGGUUCCUGGGGAGGUCACACUGCGUCCUCCCGGCCACCGGCAGGAUUGGGCCGUCUUUCCGGGAGCCCCACCUGGAGGAAGGACACGGGUCAGGAAGGAAUCGGGGAUCAGUGGGGGCUGGGGGUUCCUCGGGCUCGGUGGGGGAUGGGGGUGGGGGCUCACCGGUACACCUUCUUUCUCUCCUGGAGUUCCUGCUCCCGCUGCGCCUUAAGGAAGUCCUGGUGGUCGUCGCUCAAGGUCCGGGCUGGGGGACGGGGCACGAGCACAGGCCUCCCUGGACCCGGGUCCGCGCCGGCCCCGCCCUUCUGCCUGUCCCCUCUCCGGCGUCAUGGCGACCCCACCCCCGCGUGCCGCCCCCCACACCCUCACCGGUGCCCUCGGGCAGGCAGACGACCUGGUCGCCCCGCACCCGGCGGUAGCAGGGGAAGCGGGCCUCGCCCUGGGUCCCGGGCCGCGCAGAGAUCCGUUCGCAGAACCAGGCGUCGUCCAGCAGGAUUUUGCGCAGCUUCGCCAGCAGGAGGCGCCCCAGGUGCACGGGGACACUGACCUCGAACUCCGUCUGCGGCGGGACCGGGAGCGGGCUCGGACGCGGGCUCGGACCCGGGCUUGCGGGUCUUGCCGCCGGGGAGACGGCCCACCUUCCCUCCGAGCCGACCCGGACAGACCGCGCAGGACUGCAGGGCACCGGGCUCCGGACGCCUGCCCGGUCCCCCCGCCGUGUCCCCCCCGCACCGCCCAGCCCCUUUCCGGGGACCUCCCCACCGCCCGGCCUCCUCCCCCGGACCCCCAGUGCCCCGCGGGCUGCGCACCGACCUCACUGCGCACGGGCCACAGCUUCUUGCCCAGGUCGGCCUCCCCCUGUUCGCCCACGAGCCACAGCUGCACCAGGUUUCUGGAACCCGCCAGGAGCGAGUCCCUGGUGACCACGCGGAUAGCGUACUUGCCCGUCGCGCCCGGACCUGGAGGGCACCUGGGGGGAGAGCUGCGAUUAAAUAGAUCCGAGGUGCCCCCCUACCGUCCCCGGAGAAGGUGCACCCUGGUCUACCUGCAAACGUUCCCGAUGCCAGUUCUACGCUCUGCCCAGAGCUGA
rnacentral:lncRNA from 1 species